AGGAAUGUAGCUCAGUGGUAGAGCACCUGUCUAGCAUGUGAGGCCCUGGGUUCAAUCCCCAGCAACACCA
rnacentral:tRNA from 1 species